UACGUAGGGUGCAAGCGUUAAUCGGAAUUACUGGGCGUAAAGCGUGCGCAGGCGGUUUUGUAAGACAGAUGUGAAAUCCCCGGGCUUAACCUGGGAAUGGCAUUUGAGACUGCCCGGCUAGAGUGUGGCAAAGGGGGGUAGAAUUCCACGUGUAGCAGUGAAAUGCGUAGAGAUGUGGAGGAAUACCGAUGGCGAAGGCAGGCCCCUGGGAUAACACUGACGCUCAUGCACGAAAGCGUGGGGAGCAAACAGG
rnacentral:rRNA from 1 species